rnacentral:tRNA from 1 species
GCUCCCAUGGCGUAGUGGUCACUGCACUCGCCUUGCACGCGGGAGACCCGGGUUCGAUUCCCGGCGGGGGGU